rnacentral:tRNA from 1 species
GCAAUGGUGGUUCCGUGGCAGAAUUCUUGCCUUCCAUGUUGGAGACCCAGGUUUGAUUCCCGGCCAGUGUA